rnacentral:rRNA from 1 species
UACGGGGGGGGCAAGCGUUGUUCGGAAUUACUGGGCGUAAAGGGCUCGUAGGCGGCCAACUAAGUCAUACGUGAAAUCCCUCGGCCUAACCGGGGAACUGCGUAUGAUACUGGAUAGCUUGAGUUCGGGAGAGGAUAGCGGAAUUCCCAGUGUAGAGGUGAAAUUCGUAGAUAUUGGGAAGAACACCGGUGGCGAAGGCGGCUAUCUGGACGAGGACUGACGCUGAGAUGCGAAAGCGUGGGGAGCAAACAGG